ACAGCAACACAACCAUGUGGCAGCUGGUGGCACUUAUUAUCAUAAAGUUAAUUUCAGACUUCAUUAGGGGCACCAUCCGCAUGUGAUCUGAGCAGAGGGAGUCAGUCUCAUACUGCAGUGGCACAGGUUGCUCCAAAGGAAAUCCAAUUCGGCUACAAUCUCCAAUGACUUUAAGGUGCAAUAAAGGAAGACAUCCCAGGAGAGCAGGAGCUUGUCUUUUAUCCUUAUGAUGAAUUUAAGAGAAGAUUGGCUAAGAGUUAUCCAAAGAACUUCACAGCUGAGCCUUGAUCUCAGACUAAUCCAGUAGCCUCUUUGCUGACCCAUCGUGACUAUCUCAUUGAGGAAAGAACAAUGAUCAUGGAAGAGAAGGAAAAAGGAUCUCCAGGACCAACUUACUACCUGUAUCAGAAUUUUAGCUGUUUCUUAGAGACGAUCUCACAGAGAUCUUGGCUUUCAAUAAAAAAGAGGAAGAAAGAAAGGUCCCCGAUUUAAACACAUCCUUGAGUAAACUGUGUGGUGUUUUAUGAUCCCAUGUCUCUAA